AUAUGUAGAUCUUCUUACAUAUGAGAAAUGAACAUUGCUUCACUCUCUUGUCUUCUGUAGAGUCUACCAGAUGCUGUUAACUGAGUACUUGGAUAUGAAAAAUACUCGUACGGCCUCUGAACCAUCAGCUCAACUAAGCUAUGCCAGCACUGGACGAGAGUUUGCGGCCUUUUUUGCCAAGAAGAAACCUCAAAGGCCAAAAAAUUCUCUUUUCAAGUUCGAAUCGUCCUCCCAUGCCAUCAGUAUGAGCGCCUAUCUGCGAGAACAGAGAAGGGAGCUCUAUAGUCGGAGUGGAGAACUGCAAGGGGGUCCUGAUGACAACUUAAUUGAAGGUGGAGGAACAAAAUUUGUCUGCAAACCUGGAGCCAGAAACAUUACCGUCAUAUUCCACCCAUUACUAAGAUUUAUUCAGGAGAUUGAGCAUGCUCUGGGUCUUGGCCCAGCCAAACAGUGUCCUCUUCGAGAGUUUCUCACCGUGUACAUCAAAAACAUCUUUCUCAAUCAAGUCUUGGCUGAGAUCAACAAGGAGAUUGAAGGAGUCAC
rnacentral:sRNA from 1 species